GACGAACGCUGGCGGCGUGCUUAACACAUGCAAGUCGAACGAAGUGGCGGACGGGUGAGUAACGCGUAAUCAACCUGCUCUUCAGCGGGGGACAACAGUUGGAAACGACUGCUAAUACCGCAUACUGAAGGAGGGGAUUGCGUCUGAUUAGCUAGUUGGAGGGGUAACGGCCCACCAAGGCGAUGAUCAGUAGCCGGUCUGGGAGGAUGAACGGGCAAAUUGGGACUGAGAAACGGGCCAGACUCCUACGGGAGGCAGCAGUGGGGGAGCUUCCGCAAUGGACGAAAGUCUGACGGGGCAACGCCGCGGGGGUGAUGACGGCCUUCGGGUUGUAAAGCUCUGUUAAUCGGGACGCGGUACCGGAAGAGAAAGCCACGGCUAACUACGUGCCAGCAGCCGCGGUAAUAC
rnacentral:rRNA from 1 species